UCUGGUGACUAUAGCAAGGAGGUCACACCUGUUCCCAUGCCGAACACAGAAGUUAAGCUCCUUAGCGUCGA
rnacentral:rRNA from 1 species